AGACGGGUCUGUGGCCAUGUUCUGAAUGAUGAGUCUUGUCAGUGCGGGGAACCCACUGCCCCUGGAGCUGCUUCUGGAGCAGGACAGCCUGGGCUGGGCCACCUGUUCCAGACCUGGCUCAGGGGAAGGCUGGGGACCCAGGAAGCGUGCUGGUGAGACUGGUCACGCUGCAGCAUCUUUUCCCUGCUGUGAGGGGGUCCCUCCCUGAGCUCUGCUCAUGGGCAUGGCCUGUUCCCCUGAGGGGACCUUCUCCCAGAGCUGGCUUUGGAAGCCUGUGAAUGUUUUCGUGUGAUAAGAGUCUUUCUUCUGGUGGUGAAGUUAGAGCUGAAACUGCUCCUGGAGUCAGACCUCCUGCUCCUGCGCUGCCUCGGAGGCCAGGUCUCAGCUCUGCUGUGGAGCUGCCUUGAGGUUAGGGAGCUCACUGCUCCUUCAUGGUCAAGUCUCCCAGCCUGGGGACUUCUCAUACCUGCUGGCCGGGGACCCAGACUGUUUCCUCAGGCCUCCUCAUGCUGUCGCAGAGCCCAUUGGAGAUGGUGCCCAACAGGACCGUGUGUCAGGACCACGUAUUUUCCCUCUUGGAACAGUGCUUCCUGUGCUUGGUGCCCAUCGCUCCCUGCAGCCUCUUGUCCUCACUCUUUCAGGCGCCCUCUGAUAACCUCAGAGAUGGGCAGUGUUGGUCAGCAGGUGGGCCCUCUUAUGUUGGAAGAGGGAAAUGUGGGCGAAUAUAUCUGAUGUAAAAGCUUCUGAUAGCAUUCUGUUGAGGGUUUAACUUAUUUUGUUUUGGUGAGGAUGAUUAGCCCUGAGCUAACAUCUGUUGCCAAUCUUCCUCUUUUUGCUUGAGGAAGAUUAGCUCAGAACGAACAUCCAUGCCAGACUUUCUCUAUUUUGUUUGUGGGUCACUGCCACAGCAUGGCUUGAGGAGCAGUGUGUAGGUCUGCGCCUGGGAUCUGAACACACGAACCCCAGGCCACCAAAGUGGAGCAUGCCGAACCAACCACUAUGCCACCAGGCCGGCCCCUAAUUUUUUUUUUCCCCCACAAACAUUUCAGUAUGUUCACAUCCUUCUCUCUCAGAUUUGCUGAAUGUGAAACAGGAACGAAGGAAGGAAGCCAAUGUUUAUUUUGCCCCUACUGAGAGGUGGCAUGACCACAGUCCUUCCACAGCCCUUACAGCAGACAUUCUCAUCUGCAUUUUGCAGGCGAAGGAAGUAAAACUCCGAGGUCAAGUAACCUGCUUUGGGUCACCCAGGGCUGAGAUUUAAGACUGCCUGUCUGCCUGUCUCCAAAGUCUGUGUUUUUCCCUGCUCAAGAUGGCUUCUCCCAAUUUUAUGUUCUUUCUUACAGAUAAGGAAACUGAGUCUCAAAGAGGUGAAGUAGCUCCUCACAAGCUCUAGUGGAAACAGGCUCGGUUUCUAAGGUGGCGGGUGACACCACCACAGAGUGUGAGCAGGAGGUGCUCUGCUCGUCCCCAGGGUGCUGACGAGGAGGUGGCCGCCCAGAGUGUCUAGUGCUGUGUUGAGGGUUACAAAGCUAGAACCACGCCGUUUUUCUUGAGUUAUUUGUUUUGUGGUUUUAAUGCAGGACUUCCGCAUGUCCUGGCUUUCCUGGGAUGGUCUUCACAUGUUUUGCCUGCCAGAAAGUAAUGGUUCCCAAAAACCAUUGACUGGUCCUGGAGACUUCAACAGUGGGAUCCCAACGACAUCCCUCACACUGCUGCCCCUGGAAACAGCCUACAACCUCAGUCUGCUUUGUUAUUCAGAAAACUCAAUCCCUUGGACAAGCCACAAUACUUGUUCAUUAACUGCUUGAGGUUGCCUCAAAUCCAACUAGCUUUCUUGCUUGCAAUCAGCAAAGCCAUAAGAUUUUUUGUGUUUUUUUUUUUUUAAGUAAGAGUAAAUCCUCAUUGGCCUUUCUUUGGACGAGGAUAUAGAUAUUACUGCCGAGACAUGUCAGUUAUAAAAAUUGGGGCCGGGCUUGAAUUUGGGCAUCCUUGGCCCAAAUAGUUACACUGAGGAUUUCCUGAAGUGGUACAGAAUCCUGGGUCUUCAGUGCUCCCUGCCACUAAGGAAAAUCUAAAGUUCUUCCAUUGUGCCCUUUCUAGGUGCCUGGUGACUGCCGGGCUCAGUUCUAGGCGCUGAAGAUUGAGAGAGAGAAACAAGGCUCUGCUUCCUGCUGUUGUCUGUGCUGAGAUCUCUCAAUGCUCAGACGGGGUCUGACUGGGAGCCUGAACUUGUGGAGACUGGAGUCAGUGCCUUUGUGUUACAUGGGAUGUUUACGGGACAAUACCCCACUUCCCACCCUCAGCUGACGCCAUCAUGCCCUGCUGGGCCGUGCUCCAAACAGCCUGCCUCAGUUCAACCUGCUGCCCUAAAAAUACCAUAGACUGAGUGGCUUAAGCAGCCAGCAUCUCUCACAGUUCUGCAGGCUGAUCCAGAUGUAGUGAGCACCUGCUUCCUGUGCCACAGAGGGCCAUCUUCUUGCUGUGUCCUGAGAGCAGAGAGAAAGCUCUGGGCUCUUCCUGGCCUUCUCAGGCAGUGCAGGCUCCACCCCCAUGGACUCAUCCAAACCUAAUCGUCUCCCAAAGGCCCACCUCCAAAUAAGGUCACACUGGGUAUUAGAGUCAACAUAGAGAUCUGGGGGGACACAAACAUUCAGUCCAUACGGUGCACCCAGUUACCACCUGCCUUCCAGGCCUGUUCAUGGCCCUGUGCUUGUCACCUUGCAGAUUAAGUCAAUUGCGCUAGACUUCAACAUAGAGAUCUGGGGGGACACAAACAUUCAGUCCACACGGUAUACCUAAUUACCCACCUGCCUUCCAGGCCUGUUCAUGGCCCUGUGCUUGUCACCUUGCAGAUUAAGUCAAUUGCGCUAGACUUCAACAUAGAGAUCUGGGGGGACACAAACAUUCAGUCCACACGGUAUACCUAAUUACCCACCUGCCUUCCCGGCCUGUUCAUGGCCCUGUGCUUGUCACGUUGAGGAGCAGGUCAGGAUAUCUCGAGUCUUCUGAAGUGCCUGUUAUUCAGGCCUCUGCCACAUACAGAGCCAGCCCUCCCUGCCCACCACCUCCACCUGCGUGGGGCCACCCUGGUGAAGUGCUCUCUGACCCCAGCUUCACCAGAAAAGAAACCGGGGGAGUUUGGAGAAAACCAGGCUGCUGGCUCAGUUCUGUCUUGUGGACCAGUCUUUAGUAGGGGGUCUCCUUAGUGUGGCCAUCUGUCCGUGGCUUUCCAGAUAGGAUGCAGAGUGAUGGAUGCCUGAAGACAAAGAUCAGGAGUGAGAGCGAUGGCCAAGGUGGAGAGCCACUGAGGGAGGAGAGACCCCAGGGGCUGUGGGCUCCUCGCAGACGCCCUGCUCUUCAGCUCCCAAGUCGUGUCUCCCUCUCGCUCCCACCCGCGAGGUGCCUCUCCCUUUGUGGCCCUUGUUAGCCUGGUCUCCUCGUACACUUGGACACCUGCGUGUCGUCAGUGCUCACAGGUUGCUGAAUGGCUGUCCUCGAGGUUGAGGCUUUGCCCUCUCAAGCACUGGGGGUUCUGCAUCUGCUGCGUUCUGGCCACAGCUGGCAGAUAUGCAGAUAGGUCCCCUUUAGGGAAAUAGUUCCAUGAAAAUGAUUAAUCAUUUCCAAAAGACUUUAAAUUCUUUCCUAUUUCAAUGAAUUAAUGUUUUAAAAAGGGAACACUUUCAUGUAGUUCAAACUUGAAGAUAACAAAAGGCUGUUCAGCCGAACUCCCACCCUGUUCCUGGAAACCACCGAGCUCCCCAUGCCUGGUAGCAACAAGUGUUUCCAUUUUAAAGGAUUAAGAAACAGUCCCUGGAUUUUUAUUACUAAAACUGAAAGAGUGUAUCUUCUUGGAUGAGUUAUGUUCCAUUUGACCUUGGUGAUUGACCUCAGCCCAGUGCACCCAUGCCAUUCUCUGUAGGGAGGAGGGGCCUCCGAGGCAACCUUGUAUAAAAUAGCACCCCUACUUCAGCAUGACCUGUCCUUGCACUGCCUGUCCUUUUUGUGACGUACUGUGUGUUUGGGUUGUGGUUGCUGUUCCCUACUAGGGUGCACGCCCCUCAAGGGCAGGGGUCUGUCCCUCUUGUUCACUGCUGUAUCCCAGCUGCUAUGAACAGUGUCUGGUUUGUACCGCACAAUAAAGAAGGGCUGAAGGAGUGCAAGGUUAAGACAG
ensembl:lncRNA